rnacentral:rRNA from 1 species
AAACGGAUAGAGCCGACGACAGUUCGUGGGAUUCAGUCUGCCGGUCAGGACUCGGGUGCGCUCGCGGACAGAUCGCCGCGGCGUGCUCGGGCUCCGUGCGGGCGGAUGCAUUUCCUGCGGACGCGCGUCGAGGGCGGCGGAGACGCGGAACGAAACCCCGGGUGCCGGCCUCGUUCGCGGGGUGUCCCACCGGGGCGGAGGUCCGUCGUUUCCGCCGAUACGGAGGCGUCCGCUCUGCUCGGUAGUCGGGCUACUCGGUCGAAGAAAAUGGGCGGCGUGCUCGCACGCCGUCCUAACCCUCGAUCGGGGAUUGCAAGGCGAUCCGAGCGGCGUCGACCUCGGCGUAAAAGUCGGCGACCUAUCCGACCCGUCUUGAAACACGGACCAAGGAGUCUAACAUGUGUGCGAGUCACUGGGCGGCAAACCCAGAGGCGGAAUGAAAGUAAAGGUCGGCUCGACCGGCCGAUACGGGACCUUCCCCUGCGGGAGUGCACCGUAGCCCCGUCCUGUCCGCUUGUCGGUGGGGCGGAGGCAGAGCAUACACGUUGGGACCCGAAAGAUGGUGAACUAUGCCUGAGCAGGACGAAGCCAGAGGAAACUCUGGUGGAGGUCCGAAGCGGUUCUGACGUGCAAAUC